UGAAUUAAUCCCCCAUAAGACUACGACAUGGCAUCAUGAUGUAGUUAAAGCUCCGGCGGUUAAGGAUGGGCAUGCGGUACAUUAGCUAGUUGGUGAGGUAAUGGCUCACCAAGGCUACGAUGUAUAGGGGGUCUGAGAGGAUGAUCCCCCACACUGGUACUGAGACACGGACCAGACUCCUACGGGAGGCAGCAGUAGGGAAUAUUGGUCAAUGGACGCAAGUCUGAACCAGCCAUGCCGCGUGAAGGAUGAAGGCCCUCUGGGUCGUAAACUUCUUUUAUUAGGGAAGAAAGCAUGGGAUGCGUCCCAAACUGACGGUACUUAAUGAAUAAGGAUCGGCUAACUUCGUGCCAGCAGCCGCGGUAAGACGAAGGAUCCAAGCGUUGUCCGGAUUUACUGGGUUUAAAGGGUGCGUAGGCGGAAAAUUAAGUCAGUGGUGAAAGCCCGCAGCUCAACUGUGGAACUGCCAUUGAAACUGAUUUUCUUGAAUAUAGCUGAGGCAGAUGGAAUAUAACAUGUAGCGGUGAAAUGCUUAGAUAUGUUAUAGAACACCGAUUGCGAAGGCAGUCUGCUAAACUAUUAUUGACGCUGAGGCACGAAAGCGUGGGGAGCGAACAGGAUUAGAUACCCUGGUAGUCCACGCCCUAAACGUUGAUUACUCGCUGUUGGCGAUAUACUGUCAGUGGCUAAGCGAAAGCGUUAAGUAAUCCACCUGGG
rnacentral:rRNA from 1 species